AAUAGAUACCCCGGUAGUCCACGCCGUAAACGAUGUGUGCUAGAAGUCGGGAUAACUCGGUUUCGAAGCUAACGCAUUAAGCACACCGCCUGGGGAGUACGGUCGCAAGGCUGAAACUCAAAAGGAAUUGACGGGGACCCGCACAAGUGGUGGAGCAUGUGGUUUAAUUCGAUGCAACGCGAUGAACCUUACCAAGACUUGACAUACUCGGCAAAGCUAUAGAGAUAUAGUGGAGGUUAUCCGAUGUACAGGUGGUGCAUGGUUGUCGUCAGCUCGUGUCGUGAGAUGUUGGGUUAAGUCCCGCAACGAGCGCAACCCCUAUCUUUAUUUGCUAACAUUAAGUUGAGGACUAUAGAGAGACUGCCUACGCAAGUAGGAGGAAGGUGGGGAUGACGUCAAAUCAUCAUGCCCCUUAUGUCUUGGGCUACACACGUGCUACAAUGGCCGGUACAAAGGGCUGCAAACUGGUGACAGUAAGCGAAUCCCAUAAAGCCGGUCUAAGUUCGGAUUGAAGUCUGCAACUCGACUU
rnacentral:rRNA from 1 species